GGGACAGAGAGAUGGGGAGGGGGGAGAAAGAUGGGGCAAUAGAGAGAUGGGGAGGGGGAGAAAGACGGGGACAGAGAUGGGGAGGGGGGAGAAAGAGGGGGAAUAGAGAGAUGGGGAGGGGGGACAUAGAGAUGGGGAAGGGGGAGAAAGGGGGGCAAUAAAGAGAUGGGGAGAAAGAGAGGGAAGAAUGAGACACAGGGGGAGACAGAGAGGGAAGAAUGAGACACUGGGAGAAAGAGGGGGAAUAGAGAGAUGGGGAGGGGGAGAAAGAGACAGAGAGGGAAGAAUGAGACACAGGGGGAAUAGAGAGAUGGGGAGGGGGGAGACAGAGAGGGAAGAAUGAGACACGGGGAGAAAGAGGGGGAAUAGAGA